rnacentral:ribozyme from 13 species
UUGGUUUUUCUGCUGUUGGUUUUUCUUCUGUUUCCUUUUCUGUUUCCUUUUCUGUUUCCUUUUCUGUUUCCUUCUC